ensembl:lncRNA
AUGAUCACAGUAACAGACUCAGUCACAGUGAACUGUCAGACUCCAUCAUCUGUUUCUGUGACUCAGUGUUUUUUGUACUUUAUGAGAAGAAGAAAAUCCACAUCCAUCUCCUGUCAGCAGACACUGACAGCAACUGAGCUCCUCUUUAUGGCACAGCAGAGUUCACCUGCUGAGGUUCAAGUGGCAUGUUUUUACAUGACAGAGCAUAAAGGAGGACAAUACCAGUCUCCUCACAGCAACAUAUCCUUCAUUAGUGUACAGUACCUAACUACUUUGAGGACUUUCACCACAUCUACUCCUAUUUCUACGAGCGUACAAAGAAGAAACAGAAUUAGAGGUACGAUUUUUAAAACUGAAUAAAAAAGUUGAUUGUGGUUUUUUUAAUGUUUGAUUAAGUAAAUUUUUUAGGCACUAAAGAAAUUAUUUCUCCUGGGAUCCCACUGGCGGCAGCCUCCCCUUGUCCUUCUGUUCCUGGGAUAACUCUCACAGAUGUGACCAAUCCUACUGCUGCUGACACGACUGGAAUAACAGGUAGACCUAAUUUUACUAUUUUUAUUCAUGGACGAAUAUAAAUAUAUAUAUAUUUUUUAAAAAUAAACACGUUUUUGUGUGGUCUAAAUCACUAAAAGCCAAAUUAAACAAGUCCUCAUUGAGGAUGAGCCACCUGUGUCACAUCGCCAUAGUAAGGUUCACAGAAUUUUUACCCUGUUAACUGAUUUUACCUAAAAUGUGAAAUGACCUCCUCUUUUAAAGCAGCAAAAAUGAUAUGGAUAAUCGGAGCAGUUGUGGCAGUGGUGUCCUGCUUGCACUGCCUCUUCUCCUUGUGCAAAAAAGCACUGGUAAGAAAAGAAAAAUCCCUAAUUGCAGUACAUUUCUUUUAAAUUCAAAUUCAUUUUAUAUGACGUUUUCUUGCAAUAAAACACAUUAUCUAUGAUUUCUUGAGGAUUGUUUAAUGUUUUGUUUUGUUUUGUUUUUUCUAGUGAAAUGUGGUUCCAAGAUGUAAGUAAUGUUAACUCCAGCUGGUCUACCAGUAGUACCAGUCUACGCCUUAUGUUCUUUCUGGCCACCACAGCCCUCUUUUCUCAAAUGAACUCAAACAGAACUUUUGUGAUGGUGCGUACUGACCUGACCACUAAGGUUGACCAAGUUUAACCUGGAACAACCUCGGUGCAAAAAAUGUGUAGCCUCUGGCAAAUAUAGCAUUUUUAAAUAUUUUAAUUUUGGGACAUUUUGGGUCACUUGAAAAAGGAUGGAUCAAAUUUGACCUGAAUAGUAUGUGAAUGUCAAAGGAAAAUUCAUGUUUUUGUUUUUUGCAAAAUAGUGCACACUUCUUUGAACAAGGUCGGCCUAUUAUGUGUUUAAUUCAGGAAAACAUUUUUCAAAUGAUAUGUGGAAAAUUAUACUCCCUCGGUCUGAUGACUUUGAUUUCUACCACAGACACGAUGAGUGCAACAUGACAAAUAGAACCAAAAUAACUGGUUACUGAAAAUUGCCCACUUUGAAAUAAACAGUAAGGUGCUUUAGAGGUUUCUGUAAACAAAUUAGCCCAUCAGUACCUAAGCUUAUGUUUUCAGUUCCAUAACAAAGACAUUUUUGGAGAACAUAAAUUAGAAAUGUGUGCUUUUUUCUCUGGAAAGAAGACACUUUUUACAAAACCAGCAGGAUGGCUAUAGUGCCACCUACAGUACUGUCAUAUAUGAGUGCAAUACUGGUCAUCUGCUUCUUUAUUUUACAAAUUCUGCUGAAAAUAAAAUUGUUAACAUUUGUGUAUUCUUUUAUUUUGGAAAAAUGUAUUUUGAAAUAUUCAGCAUUUCAAGUUAUAUAUUUUGCAAAAUGAUAAAAAACAAACACUGUAACUAAAAGCAAUUUGCCUAUCUGCUUCUGGUAAUACAAUGUAUCAUCUCUGAGUUAUUUUGGAUUAUUGUCAUUAUUUGUUUUUUGUUUUUAUGGGGUGGGUGUGUGUGGGGGGGUGGGGGUGGGGGGUGGGGGGUAAAGAGGAAAGUAAUUUUAUUUUUAAAGGAUUUUUAGGUCAUCAUGCAUAAGUACCACUCUACACCUUCCUUACCAUCAUCACUGUCAAUCACAGCUGCUCACAAUAAACAGUCCUUUUUCUGAGUCGCUCACAUUAAAGGAAAAUUACAGUUUUAAAAAACAGAAAUAAGACCAGUGUACUUUACAUCCCCUUUGUACAGAAUAAACCUAUUUUAGUAUUUCAGGUCAAAUCCUUGAAA